rnacentral:rRNA from 1 species
UGGUGGUUAUAGCGGAGCGGCUGCACCCGAUCCCAUUCCGAACUCGGCCGUGAAACGCUCCUGCGCUGAUGGUACUUUGUCUUAAGACACGGGAGAGUAAGUCGCUGCCA